rnacentral:rRNA from 1 species
UACGUAGGGUGCGAGCGUUGUCCGGAAUUAUUGGGCGUAAAGGGCUCGUAGGCGGUCUGUUGCGUCGGUAGUGAAAACUCAGGGCUUAACCCUGAGCCUGCUUCCGAUACGGGCAGACUAGAGGUAUGCAGGGGAGAACGGAAUUCCUGGUGUAGCGGUGAAAUGCGCAGAUAUCAGGAGGAACACCGGUGGCGAAGGCGGUUCUCUGGGCCGAUACUGACGCUGAGGAGCGAAAGCGUGGGGAGCGAACAGG